rnacentral:rRNA from 1 species
AACGAACGCUGGCGGCAUGCCUAACACAUGCAAGUCGAACGAGAUCUUCGGGUCUAGUGGCGCACGGGUGCGUAACGCGUGGGAAUCUGCCCUUUGGUUCGGAAUAACAAUUGGAAACGACUGCUAAUACCGGAUGAUGACGAAAGUCCAAAGACUUAUCGCCAGAGGAUGAGCCCGCGUAGGAUUAGCUAGUUGGUGUGGUAAAGGCGCACCAAGGCGACGAUCCUUAGCUGGUCUGAGAGGAUGAUCAGCCACACUGGGACUGAGACACGGCCCAGACUCCUACGGGAGGCAGCAGUGGGGAAUAUUGGACAAUGGGCGAAAGCCUGAUCCAGCAAUGCCGCGUGAGUGAUGAAGGCCUUAGGGUUGUAAAGCUCGUUUACCCGGGAUGAUAAUGACAGUACCGGGAGAAUAAGCUCCGGCUAACUCCGUGCCAGCCGCCGCAGUAA